AGUGAACGCUGGCGGUAGGCCUAACACAUGCAAGUCGAACGGCAGCACAGUAAGAGCUUGCUCUUACGGGUGGCGCGUGGCGGACGGGUGAGGAAUACAUCGGAAUCUACUUUUUCGUGGGGGAUAACGUAGGGAAACUUACGCUAAUACCGCAUACGACCUACGGGUGAAAGCAGGGGAUCUUCGGACCUUGCGCGAUUGAAUGAGCCGAUGUCGGAUUAGCUAGUUGGCGGGGUAAAGGCCCACCAAGGCGACGAUCCGUAGCUGGUCUGAGAGGAUGAUCAGCCACACUGGAACUGAGACACGGUCCAGACUCCUACGGGAGGCAGCAGUGGGGAAUAUUGGACAAUGGGCGCAAGCCUGAUCCAGCCAUACCGCGUGGGUGAAGAAGGCCUUCGGGUUGUAAAGCCCUUUUGUUGGGAAAGAAGAGCAGCAGGUUAAUACCCCGCUGUUCUGACGGUACCAAAAGAAUAAGCACCGGCUAACUUCGUG
rnacentral:rRNA from 1 species